rnacentral:rRNA from 1 species
UGGGGAAUAUUGGACAAUGGGCGAAAGCCUGAUCCAGCCAUGCCGCGUGUGUGAAGAAGGUCUUCGGAUUGUAAAGCACUUUAAGUUGGGAGGAAGGGCAGUAAGCGAAUACCUUGCUGUUUUGACGUUACCGACAGAAUAAGCACCGGCUAACUCUGUGCCAGCAGCCGCGGUAAUACAGAGGGUGCAAGCGUUAAUCGGAAUUACUGGGCGUAAAGCGCGCGUAGGUGGUUCGUUAAGUUGAAUGUGAAAGCCCCGGGCUCAACCUGGGAAAUGCAUCCAAAACAGGCGAGCUAGAGUAGGGCAGAGGGUGGUGGAAUUUCCUGUGUAGCGGUGAAAUGCGUAGAUAUAGGAAGGAACACCAGUGGCGAAGGCGACCACCUGGGCUCAUACUGACACUGAGGUGCGAAAGCGUGGGGAGCAAACAGG